CUUUACUAUAGCUUCACAUUGACAUCGGCUGCCCGAUGUGUAGGAUAGGUGGGAGACUUUGAAGCGGUGUCGCUAGGCAUCGUGGAGUCAACGUUGAAAUACCACCCUUCUGUCACCUGAUGUCUAAUCCCUGCGAAACAGGGAAACAGUGUGUGGUGGGUAGUUUGACUGGGGUGGUCGCCUCCAAAAGUGUAUCGGAGGCUUUCAAAGGUACCCUCAGCACGCUUGGUAACCGUGCGUUGAGUGCAUUGGCAUAAGGGUGCUUGACUGCGAGACCAACAAGUCGACCAGGUAGGAAACUAGGACAAAGUGAUCCGGUGGUUCCAUAUGGAAGGGCCAUCGCUCAUAGGAUAAAAGGUA
rnacentral:rRNA from 1 species